rnacentral:rRNA from 1 species
AGGGGCUAGGGGGGGCGGGUCAUCGGGGCACCUCCCACCCGUGUUGCCCGAACCUAUGUUGCCUCGGCGGGCCCCGCGCCCGCCGACGGCCCCCCUGAACGCUGUCUGAAGUUGCAGUCUGAGACCUAUAACGAAAUUAGUUAAAACUUUCAACAACGGAUCUCUUGGUUCCGGCAUCGAUGAAGAACGCAGCGAAAUGCGAUAACUAAUGUGAAUUGCAGAAUUCAGUGAAUCAUCGAGUCUUUGAACGCACAUUGCGCCCUCUGGUAUUCCGGAGGGCAUGCCUGUCCGAGCGUCAUUGCUGCCCUCAAGCCCGGCUUGUGUGUUGGGCCCCGUCCCCCCCGCCGGGGGGACGGGCCCGAAAGGCAGCGGCGGCACCGCGUCCGGUCCUCGAGCGUAUGGGGCUUCGUCACCCGCUCUAGUAGGCCCGGCCGGCGCCAGCCGACCCCCAACCUUUAAUUAUCUCAGGUUGACCUCGGAUCAGGUAGGGAUACCCGCUGAACUUAAGCAUAUCAUAACCGGGGAGGAA